AAUAGAUACCCUGGUAGUCCACGCCGUAAACGAUGUCGACUUGGAGGUUGUGCCCUUGAGGCGUGGCUUCCGGAGCUAACGCGUUAAGUCGACCGCCUGGGGAGUACGGCCGCAAGGUUAAAACUCAAAUGAAUUGACGGGGGCCCGCACAAGCGGUGGAGCAUGUGGUUUAAUUCGAUGCAACGCGAAGAACCUUACCUACUCUUGACAUCCAGAGAACUUGGCAGAGAUGCCUUGGUGCCUUCGGGAACUCUGAGACAGGUGCUGCAUGGCUGUCGUCAGCUCGUGUUGUGAAAUGUUGGGUUAAGUCCCGCAACGAGCGCAACCCUUAUCCUUUGUUGCCAGCGGUCCGGCCGGGAACUCAAAGGAGACUGCCAGUGAUAAACUGGAGGAAGGUGGGGAUGACGUCAAGUCAUCAUGGCCCUUACGAGUAGGGCUACACACGUGCUACAAUGGCGCAUACAAAGAGAAGCGACCUCGCGAGAGCAAGCGGACCUCAUAAAGUGCGUCGUAGUCCGGA
rnacentral:rRNA from 1 species